CUUCGGUUCGGAAUAACCCAGGGAAACUUGGGCUAAUACCGGAUACGCCCUUUAGGGGAAAGGUUUACUGCCGAAGGAUCGGCCCGCGUCUGAUUAGCUAGUUGGUGAGGUAACGGCCUACCAAGGCGAAGAUCAGUAGCUGGUCUGAGAGGAUGAUCAGCCACACUGGGACUGAGACACGGCCCAGACUCCUACGGGAGGCAGCAGUGGGGAAUAUUGGACAAUGGGCGCAAGCCUGAUCCAGCCAUGCCGCGUGAGUGAUGAAGGCCUUAGGGUUGUAAAGCUCUUUUCUCCGGGACGAUAAUGACGGUACCGGAGGAAUAAGCCCCGGCUAACUUCGUGCCAGCAGCCGCGGUAAU
rnacentral:rRNA from 1 species